rnacentral:rRNA from 1 species
GACGAACGCUGGCGGCGCGCCUAAUACAUGCAAGUCGAGCGAGAACUCGGGCUUCGGCCCGGGGGAAAGCGGCGAACGGGUGCGUAACACGUGAGCAACCUGCCCCGAAGACCGGGAUAACACCGGGAAACCGGUGCUAAUACCGGAUGCCCUCUUCCGACCGCAUGAUCGGACGAGGAAAUGGAUUCCGCUUCGGGAUGGGCUCGCGGCCUAUCAGCUUGUUGGUGGGGUAACGGCCUACCAAGGCGACGACGGGUAGCUGGUCUGAGAGGACGAUCAGCCACACUGGGACUGAGACACGGCCCAGACUCCUACGGGAGGCAGCAGUAGGGAAUCUUGCGCAAUGGGCGAAAGCCUGACGCAGCGACGCCGCGUGCGGGAUGAAGGCCUUCGGGUUGUAAACCGCUUUCAGCAGGGACGAAAUUGACGGUACCUGCAGAAGAAGGCCCGGCCAACUACGUGCCAGCAGCCGCAGUAAAAC